GACGAACGCUGGCGGCGCGCCUAACACAUGCAAGUCGAACGGAGCUGAGAGAAGCUUGCUUUUCUUAGCUUAGUGGCGAACGGGUGAGUAACGCGUGAGUAACCUGCCCUGGAGUGGGGGACAACAGUUGGAAACGACUGCUAAUACCGCAUAAGCCCACGAUCCGGCAUCGGAUUGAGGGAAAAGGAUUUAUUCGCUUCAGGAUGGACUCGCGUCCAAUUAGCUAGUUGGUGAGGUAACGGCCCACCAAGGCGACGAUUGGUAGCCGGGCUGAGAGGUUGAACGGCCACAUUGGGACUGAGACACGGCCCAGACUCCUACGGGAGGCAGCAGUGGGGGAUAUUGCACAAUGGGGGAAACCCUGAUGCAGCGACGCCGCGUGGAGGAAGAAGGUUUUCGGAUUGUAAACUCCUGUCGUUAGGGACGAUAAUGACGGUACCUAACAAGAAAGCACCGGCUAACUACGUG
rnacentral:rRNA from 1 species